AAUUAUCACUCUCCUCCUUCUCACAUAGGGAACUGAGGUGCAGAGACGUUGUUAAAUCCCAUGUCUGGGAUCACACAGCUGAGAGCUGCAGAACCUUAUCUGUUUCCUGAGUCUGACUGGACACUGAGAUUUGGCAGCUGAAGCCACAUAUUCAGUAUCGUCUCCAUCCCCUAAGCCUGCCGAGGUGCAGAGAACACAGUAGCUGCUUCAUAAACGGCUGUAAAAGCGGAGAUUGCAAGAUUGCUCCAAACCCGUGGAGGCCGAUCAGUUUCCAGUACAUACGAGACAGGGUCUCAUGUUGGCUCGGAGAUUGGCUGCGCGUAGGCUCAGUAGACUGGACGGCAAGCCCCAGGAAUCUCCUAAGAGACGCUAUCCCAGGAUGGUCUUGAACUCACAGAGCUUUCUUCCUCAGCCUCCUAAGUGCUAGGAUGACAGAUUCCACAUGGCACUGGGAUUUGCCUAAUUCCAUAUGGAAGGAGUUUAUUAAAGGCGGUUUUACACUUGUGCUCAUCUCGUCGUGGCCUCCGAGUGCAAGAAUUACAGCCAUCCAGCCUGGUGCCCAGCCUUUGACACGGUUGUUAAGGUGGAACAAGGUAAAGUCCAGAGAAAGGUUCUGGUUGACAAGAACCGCCUAAGCCAGCCACCAAAGAGACCAGAGCCGCUGUGACAAAUCACUGUAAACCAAGGAAAUUCCAACAACCAGCAAUUACUUCUCCCAGCUGCAGCAGGCUCAAGUGGACAGCUGAGAGGAAGCAAGUGCUCUGCCUCUGAGGAGAGCACUCAUCCCAUCUGGAAGGAUGCACUCUCCCAGAAGGUUCACCUCCAUGUACAGUGCUUCUCAACCCAGCACUCAGUCUGUGACAUCUGUGAUGUCAUGGAGAAGAAUGAGUAGCCUCCCCUGAUGCUUGAAAUAAACACGACUCAGAGGCAAACCUCCAAUGGCUGUCAAUACGUACAGAAUGAAGGUGAAUCUGGAAGCAUCUAGAUGGCUAAGUCUAACAGUAGGGUUAGGACCAGCAAUUAAAGAGAGGGAGGACCCACCCCUCACCACUCUCAACCCCACAAGGUACCAAUUGCCCAUAUCUCCUGAUAAAAACAACUCUUUGGUGCCCUUUGGGAGCAUGCAAUCAAAGUCCUCAUUGGAGUGGCUCAGUGUGAGGGCUGUUGC
rnacentral:lncRNA from 1 species